UAAUUUGUAUUUCAGCAUGGCUGCGAUUUUCCUUCAGGAAAUAUGACUGAAGUGAAGACGACCGAAAAUAUUUGCCACGUAUACAGAUAGGGCAAGGUCGUAAGUACUCAAGAUUGGUGAAAGUGGACGUAAAAAUCCAGGAACGAACGAACGAAGUACUCAACUACCAUUUUUUUUUUAUCAAUUUGAAAUGGAGAGCUCUCGAAGAAAAUCCAGAUCAAAGUCGAAAGACUUGAAGAAAAGAAAAAGGCAUCGAUCAUCUUCUUCUUCUGAUACAGAUUCUUCAUCAAGUGAUUCAUCUCACUCAAAACCUAAGCGACAGUUGAAGAAGACACCUACUAAAAAUACUGAUUUGUUAUAUAGUGAUUCUCAUACUAACCAUAAUAAAAAACCACAGAAGAGGAGAGAGCGGAAAAAAUCUAAACAUAAGAAAAGGUCCUGUGGAAAGACUAAUAUAUCUACUAUUAUGAAAGAAAUUACAUCUUGAAUUAUUAAAAUCCAGGCAUUCAUCAACUUCAUCAUCUUCAUCUUCUGAAGAUGAAAGGAGAAAAAGAAAGGAAAGGAAAAAGAAGAAGAAAAAGUUAAAAAAGAAAAUGAAAGAAGAAAGAAGAGCAAAAAGAAAAAGUAUGGAAGAAGCUCAAAUACUAGCUUUGAAUUUAGAAGCUGAAAAACCUAAGAAAGACACGACAGGAAUCGGUCCCACUGUCAGAGUCUUGAAGCCAAUGACUAAAGAAGAAUGGGAAAAACAACAAAGUAUUGUAAGGAAAGUUUAUGAUCCGGACACAGGAAGACAAAGGCUUAUAAAAGGUGAUGGAGAAGUGAUUGAAGAAAUUGUUAGUAAAGAACGACAUAAAGAAAUAAACAAGAUUUCUACUCAAGGUGAUGGUUUGCAUUAUCAGAAACAGGCAGGGCUUAAUAGAUUUUAAAGAUGAACUGCUAUCCCAAUAUGUGUAUGUGUGUGUGGAUAAUAAUUCUUUUAUUUAGAAUUUCAAUCCUGCUUUAAAAAGAGAACAAAUUGUGUGAAUUAAAUGGCAUAAAGUAGUGUAAUUAUUUGAUACAAGCAUUCAAGAUUAUAUAAAAACUAUUUAAUGUGAUUUAGCUUGAAAUAUUGACUUAGUACUAUGCACAAAUAUCUAUUUGAAGAUAGAAAUGUAACAUAAUUGGUUGAAUUAGUUUUCUUAAGUGGUCAGGGUUACUGUAGACAGGUUCGCUUAGUAGGAGACAUCUCUCAAUUUGAAACAUGGCUUUUAAGUCAUUCAGUAACUAAAAGGUUAAAUGCAUAUUUUGUCAGUAUGGUGAAGGGAUGUAAAAAAAAAGUGUUCACACAGAAUAAUCAACAUUCUGCUGAUAUUUUCCUAUAAAUAUAUGAACUUAAUGCUGCAUGAGUUUACAAUGCAAUUCAUGAAAAAAAGAUACUCAACUGUUAACAUGAACUUAUUAUUAUUGCCUAUGGUUAUCAUAAUAACACAGUUGACAUAGUUCAUAAAUUAUAAUGGUAUUUGGAUGUUUCAUAUAACGUUAUUUCAAAUUUAAAUGGCAAGUGCAUAUCAGAAUUACUUUAAUUAUAUGUAGAUUUUACGAACUAUUGAGAUUGUGAAUAUUUCUUUGAAUGGAUGUGGCUUUUUUUUGUUAUACUAACUUAUCUUGAUAAUGAACUGUUGGCUUUAUUUUUUGUUGAUUUAAGUUUCAGAGUAUUGUAAUUAGUUUUAAAGUUGCCUUCAGUCACAUUUUUCCAAUUAUGUCAUAAUAAUAAUGAUCUUAUAAAUCCAUUAUUAAAUA